UACCUGCAGUAACGGCGAGUGAAGCGGUAACAGCUCAAAUUUGAAAUCUGGGUCUUUCAGGCUCCGAGUUGUAAUUUGUAGAAGAUGCUUCGGGUGCGGCUCCGGUCUAAGUCCCUUGGAACAGGGCGUCAUAGAGGGUGAGAAUCCCGUAUGUGAUCGGUGGCCUGCGCCCGUGUGAAGCUCUUUCGACGAGUCGAGUUGUUUGGGAAUGCAGCUCAAAAUGGGUGGUAUAUUUCAUCUAAAGCUAAAUAUUGGCCAGAGACCGAUAGCGCACAAGUAGAGUGAUCGAAAGAUGAAAAGCACUUUGGAAAGAGAGUUAAACAGUACGUGAAAUUGUUGAAAGGGAAGCGCUUGCAACCAGACUUGCGCGUUGUUGAUCAUCCGGGGUUCUCCCCGGUGCACUCGACCUCGCUCAGGCCAGCAUCGGUUUCGGUGGUUGGAUAAAGGCCUUGGGAAUGUAGCUUCUUUCGGGGAGUGUUAUAGCCCUCGGUGCAAUGCAGCCUACCGGGACCGAGGACCGCGCUUCGGCUAGGAUGCUGGCGUAAUGGUUGUAAGCGACCCGUCUUGAAACACGGACCAAGGAGUCUAACAUCUAUGCGAGUGUUUGGGUGUCAAACCCAUGCGCGUAAUGAAAGUGAACGGAGGUGAGAACCCUUUAGGGUGCAUCAUCGACCGAUCCUGAUGUCUUCGGAUGGAUUUGAGUAAGAGCAUAGCUGUUGGGACCCGAAAGAUGGUGAACUAUGCCUGAAUAGGGUGAAGCCAGAGGAAACUCUGGUGGAGGCUCGCAGCGGUUCUGACGUGCAAAUCGAUCGUCAAAUUUGGGUAUAGGGGCGAAAGACUAAUCGAACCAUCUAGUAGUGGUUUUUUCGACGAGACU
rnacentral:rRNA from 1 species